AGCUGGGCAAAACACGGACCCCUGGAUAUACAGAGGUGUAUGUAUUAUCAUACUAAAUUUAUUUUGCGUGUAUUACAAAAUGAAAGCGAUGCGAGAAAAGACUGGUAUUUUGUACAGUGCAGAGAAGGCGACCUUAUAUCGAGAUAAAUUUUGACGGGAAGGAUACUCGGUGAUUUUUCUGGUCAACAUUCUGUAUUGCACCAUGUUUAUUGUACUGAUUAGAGUGCUAGUUCUAUACUUCCAGCUUCAGGAAGUGACGCACCUUGUCUCAAUAUCGGUGGUACCUGUCGAGAUGACAAUCUAUAUUGUUCCGGAAUUUACGUAUCGGGGUUAUGUUCCGGGGGAGCCAAUAGACGAUGUUGUUCAGGUAUCAUAAGGACUUUAUGAUAUUGUUAUUCAGUGCACCAUAUUUACCGCAUGGUUUUGUGUACAUUCAGUAGUUUAAAUAACGCCUGCUUUUGGUGAAUUUCACACA